AGCAGAGUUAUAGUCAACCUGACUGCGUUUGCAUUGUUUCACAUUUACAGUACCCAGCAGUAGAAUUUGUACUUUAACUUUGCCACAUUGCAACCAUAAACCUCCAAGUAUUUCAUUGAGAUGUUAUCUGAAAGGCCAACAGAAAGCAGUACAACAUCGGGAAAUGAACAGGGGGGAAAAAAAAAGGAAACUUAUUUUCCAACAUUUUCUAGAAAGAGCGGAAAAAUGCGAGAUAGAUUUGAGUUGUUUUUGGGUUGAGUUACAGCUGUAAGUCCUUCGGGGUAGGUCUCAACCAUCUUUACACCUUCCCUGUCCUCUCUGAAGAUGAGCAUCCUCACAGCGUGAUGCUGCAACUACAAAGUUUUGUCGUAGGAACGUUGUCUUACAGGGGCGCCACCAUGUGAGGGGGGCCACAUUUUCAGAGGUGUAUUGAGUGAUUUAUCAUCCUCUCCUAGUGGCUAAAGAACCGCAUAAUCACCAACAGCCCUAGUACAGAACCAGGGGACGACUUUAGCUCUUUAAGGCGUAUGCUAAGAAAAUCUAAAGUUUUAGCUGCCAAACUCUGGUUGAGUUAAUGCAACGAGCCUUGAACAUUUACAGGUAGCCAGAACAUCAAAUGCCAAAUGACAACACUGAAUAUUACAUGUCUCCUCCUCAGCUGAGCUCUUUCUUUUGUGGCAGUAAAAGAUUUCAAAGAAAUAUGUGGAAAGCCAAAGUGAGCAGACGUUCUGCACAGAAAUGAAAGGAUUGGGUUUAUUCCUAGCAUCAACUACAAGGUUUCCCUCCAGCGUGUUAUAAGUGCUUUACUCGCCCUCUGCCACACUAAGCGUUCAUUUGAAAUGCCUCGAUGUUCGAGUGCGUUGUUAAAGUUCCCGCCUGGGAGAAAACCUCCUGGUGAAGCUAACACGCUAGCUGUUAUUAGCUCGACCAAUCCAGCUGCGUCCCUCCUUCGAGCUGCAUGACACAAUGCUCCCCGCGGUCACGUUCCGCUCCUUCCACACCUCCCGUAAGACAUCUACUACCAGGAUUACCUCGUCUUCUGGGAUAUACCCUGACCCAACUAGCAAAGGAUGCAACAUCAGUAUUACUGUUAAACAGCUUAACGUGACAUACUGCCAUGUAUUACCUGGUCAUCAUUUAGCUAACAUCUGCAUGUAGCAACGUUACUCAACCAAUACGGUUUGUUUGGGGG